rnacentral:rRNA from 1 species
AGGAUGAACGCUGGCGGCGUGCUUAACACAUGCAAGUCGAGCGAUGAAGGCUGGAGCUUGCUCUGGCUGGAUUAGUGGCGAACGGGUGAGUAACACGUGAGUAACCUGCCCCAGACUCUGGGAUAAGCGCUGGAAACGGCGUCUAAUACCGGAUACGAGCUUCCACCGCAUGGUGAGGAGCUGGAAAGUAUUUCGGUCUGGGAUGGACUCGCGGCCUAUCAGCUUGUUGGUGAGGUAAUGGCUCACCAGGCGACGACGGGUAGCCGGCCU